rnacentral:rRNA from 1 species
CCUACGGGCGGCUGCAGUCGAGAAUCUUUGGCAAUGGACGCAAGUCUGACCAUGCGACGCCGCGUGCGGGAUGAAGGCUUUCGGGUCGUAAACCGCUGUUACGAGGAACGAAGUCUUCACUUUCUAACACAAGGUGGAGAUUGACGGUACCUCGAGAGAAAGCCACGGCUAACUCCGUGCCAGCAGCCGCGGUAAUACGGAGGUGGCAAGCGUUGCUCGGAUUUACUGGGUGUAAAGGGCAAGUAGGCGGUCUUGUAAGCCCUGCCUUAAAGGCUUUGGCUCAACCAAAGUAUGCGGCAGGGGACUGCAAGACUCGAGGACGGAAGAGGCGAACGGAAUUCCCGGUGUAAGGGUGAAAUCUGUAGAUAUCGGGAGGAACACCAGUGGCGAAGGCGGUUCGCUGGUCCGUUUCUGACGCUGAGGUGCGAAAGCUAGGGGAG